GCUCUCGUAGCUUAAUGGAUAGAGUAUCGGUCUUCGGAACCGAUGGUGGAGGUUCGAUUCCUCCCGAGAGCG
rnacentral:tRNA from 1 species